rnacentral:ncRNA from 1 species
ACAGUGUCGUAAUAGUAAUUCAACCUAGUACGAGAGGAACCGUUGAUUCACAUAAUUGGCCAUCGCGCUUGUUUGAAAAGCCAGUGGCGUGAAGAUACCGUGUGCUGGAUUAUUACUGAACGCCUCUAAGUCAGAAUGCGGGCUAAGAAGCGACGCAUGCGCCCGCCGUCCGCUUGCCGAACCGCAGCAGGGGCCUAUGGCCGCCAAGGGCACGUGUCGUUGGUUAAGUUGCCACGACGGAAGCGUCGCAGUGACCGCCUUGAAGUACAAUUUCCAUUGAGCAGUAGGUAGAAUCAUUUGCAGACGACUUAAAUACGCGAUGGGGUAUUGUAAGUUGCAGAGUGUCCUUGCUACCACGAUCCACUGAGAUUCAGCCCUUUGUCGCUCUGAUUC